rnacentral:lncRNA from 1 species
AGGAAGCGAGGUAAAAUGAGACCAACAAGGUGCCUAGGUGUGCAAAUGAUUUAAAUUAAGAAAAGAUACCAAACGGGCAAUUCAAAUCAUCAACAUUCUCACAUUAAAAUAAGCAGUAAUUUAGAUAUGCCAAUUCCCAAACUUAUUUGCUUAGGCUCUUAUCCUUUGUUUGGUACGAAGAAUAGAUUGGAAGAAGGAUGGAUAG